AUAUGUGAACCACAAAAUUUACCUGUAGAAUAGCCCCAGGAUGUUAAGAGAAGAGUCCCCUGUAAUACAGACCUACACACGAAGUAAUUGUAACCAGAAUGACACAGAAAUAAGUAUAACGACUUUGAGCCACAACGUUAAAAUGGAAGAACAAAAUCGAACAGGAACAGGACUAUCGCCAGCUACCCUCUCAAAAUUAUAUCACACUUAAGGACCCAAAUAAUUUUUACAUGCCCUUAACAUGAAAGCUUCCAGAAGUAGGACCACUCUUAUUAUCCUGAGGAUGAGCUAUUCCAGGUAUCCACACACAAUUGGGGGCUGUGCGAUUUAGGACCUGCGAAUAAAUAUUGAUCUAUGCAUCGAAUUAUAUUAUCAUACCUGCGAAGUCCAGAAGUAUACCUGGUAUUUUUUAAACGUCUAUAUUUAAACAAAAGUCGUCUAUGAAGACGACGUUAUUGUACUGCCACACAACAUUUUACGUGAACCAUAUCGCCGCAAAUGGAAUACCCCAUAUAUCAAAUGCUGUACAGACGUCGACCUAGUUAAAAUAAAUAUGUUUACCACAAAA